GCAAACUUGGUCAUUUAGAGGAAGUAAAAGUCGUAACAAGGUUUCCGUAGGUGAACCUGCGGAAGGAUCAUUAUAGAAAUAUGGUCUCAAAACCAUUCUCCUGUGAUUUACGUAACUGUGUAUACUUUGGCAGGCUUUGGAUCGUUAUCGAUUCAACUUCUACGUUCGUACGAAUGUUUGAAGCUGGCCUGCCAGAGGUUUUCAUAAACACACACACACGUUUAAACUACUGUCUGAAAAUCUCUUUCGAGAGAAUAAAACAAAAUUAAAUACAACUUUCAACAACGGAUCUCUUGGCUCUCGCAUCGAUGAAGAACGCAGC
rnacentral:misc_RNA from 1 species